rnacentral:rRNA from 1 species
UACGUAGGGGGCAAGCGUUGUCCGGAAUCAUUGGGCGUAAAGAGCGUGUAGGCGGCCCGAUAAGUCCGCCGUGAAAGUCCAGGGCUCAACCCUGGAAUGCCGGUGGAAACUGUCGGGCUGGAGUCCGGAAGAGGCGAGUGGAAUUCCUGGUGUAGCGGUGAAAUGCGCAGAUAUCAGGAGGAACACCGGUGGCGAAGGCGGCUUGCUGGGCCAGUUCUGACGCUGAGGAGCGAAAGCGUGGGGAGCGAACAGG